rnacentral:rRNA from 1 species
AUUGAACGCUGGCGGCAGGCCUAACACAUGCAAGUCGAACGGUAACAGGAAGCAGCUUGCUGCUUCGCUGACGAGUGGCGGACGUGUGAGUAAUGUCUGGGAAGCUGCCUGAUGGAGGGGGAUAACUACUGGAAACGGUAGCUAAUACCGCAUAAUGUCGCAAGACCAAAGAGGGGGACCUUCGGGCCUCUUGCCAUCGGAUUUGCCCAGAUGGGAUUAGCUUGUUGGUGGGGUAACGGCUCACCAAGGCGACGAUCCCUAGCUGGUCUGAGAGGAUGACCAGCCACACUGGAACUGAGACACGGUCCAGACUCCUACGGGAGGCAGCAGUGGGGAAUAUUGCACAAUGGGCGCAAGCCUGAUGCAGCCAUGCCGCGUGUAUGAAGAAGGCCUUCGGGUUGUAAAGUACUUUCAGCGGGGAGGAAGGGAGUAAAGUUAAUACCUUUGCUCAUUGACGUUACCCGCAGAAGAAGCACCGGCUAACUCCGUG